rnacentral:lncRNA from 1 species
GUCCCCGAGUCACAAAGGUCACUAUGGCAUUGUCCAGUAAUUGCCUGGGCAACAGUGGUCAGCUCUGCACCAAGAUGUCUUAAGCCAUAAAUGAUUAGCUCUGGGGAAGGAUAUUAAAUAACAUCUCAGUUCAAGAACCAGCAUCUCAUUAAGGCCAUGUGACCUAUCCAAGGUCUUCUGACCCCUAGCCUCAUUAUUGCUCAUUCAACUUUCAGAUGAUAUAAAAUGGAACCCAUGAAAAACAGGGGUUGCUGUGGUCACAAAGCAGGUUUCCAAGAUGAUCUGUAUGCCAAGGAAUGGUGUAAAAGACAUCAUGCAAUGUGAUGAGAAAGGAAUUGGACUGGUCAUGGAAUGAGAAAGAGAAGUGACAGAUGGAUAGCUCCAGUGGCACACAGGUACUUCUGAGAUGUUAGAAGAACCCAAGGGAAAUCUCCAAAGCAUAAGAUGGAUCCCCUAUGGAGGACUAACGGGAAGACAUGGCUAAGACUUACAUGGGAUGGAGAGCUACAGAAGUUAUGGUCUGAACUAGUGGGGUGAAGUUCCCACAUGGAUUCCCCAAGGCAACAAAGAACCAAAACCAAAGGGAGAGCUGAAAUGGAAGGUUCAUGGGAUCUGAAGUCAGAAGAUUUGAUUCAGGUCCUGAUUGAGCCAUGGCCGGUCACUUCCUCUGAGGCUCAGUUGGCUCAUCAGUACAAGAGGAACGACAAAACCUCCAUUAUCAACAUCAUGGAGGAGGAGGGGUGUUAGGAGGAGGAUCAAGUGAAAUAUUGUAGGUAAAGAGCUGUUUGCCUGCAGAAUGCAGCAUAAAGGUAAAUUAUUACACAGCCUAAGCUAACUGUCCCUCUUCUCCUUGACAGCUCUUUGCAUAUCUGAUGCCACAGAUCAUGCUCAUGUUCUCUUUUCUAAAUUAAAUAAUCUCAGUUCCUGUAAUCAUUCCUAAUAUGACAUGGUUUACAGAUGAGCUUAGAGUGGAACUAAUACCUUUCUUCACCUAGAUGCACCAUAUUUCUGUUGCUGCAGUGUUUUUGCAGCAGUCAUAUUAGUUUUUUGCUUAUUUGGAGCUAGAAGUGAUCUAAACUAAUCACUUGAGUC